GUCGAGCCUGCUCAUGUGCCGGUUGCUGAUGGGCAUUAACUGACAGGAUGAGUAUCCAGGACUGCCGCUGCUGGGUUCUAUGGGAGCUGCCGUGGUUCGCCAUAUGCAUCUUUUCCAGGGUGGAGAUCCGGUUCCUUGACCUGAAGCUGAGAUUUGGUCAUUAGCUUAAACCCUGUUCCACUUCUGCCUUUCCUGUCACCCCACCUGUCUUCUCAGAAUGCCAGGCCGAUGAGCCGUCCCAGCUCUCCACUACCCAGGGCUCAGCAUCUUCUUCGAGGCUGUCCCUGUAGCUCUGUGUCCUUUUCCUAACCCCAGAUGCAGAACAGAUGGGAAAUGGAUCCUGUGCCUAACUCUUUCUGGAAGAUUUCCCCACCCCCUUACCUUUGUCUAGUGAUUCUCUGGGGGUUGUUCUUCCUUUCUGGAAGAAUGUACCUAGGGACCCAGGAGCUCCUGGGCACUGGCUGCAGAGGCUCUAUCUCCCUCAUUGCUGAAGGGGCCCUCUCCCCACCCUGAGGAGCCUGCUGCGACUAUUUUAAGAAAAGUCUUCAAGGGCUUCAAAGAGUAAUAGGAUAGCUUUCUGGGAUGCUUGUUAAAAUUCUUGAAUAUGUUUAAGGGAUUUGCAUUUUCAAAGACAGAAUGUUUUCUGUUUGAUGUUGAGAAAAGAUUUUUCCCCCCUUUUCCUGUGAGUUUAAAUAAUUUGCCUGGCUUUCUAGUGGAAAGACCACAGUGCUCUUAUGUUCCGAAUGUGGCAUUUGUUAGAAUCCUCAAUGAUUGCAUGGAUGUAAAUGAUUUUGAAACAUGUUUCCAAAUAAAUGGCCAUCUGCAAG